AAACCAACAGGGAUUGCCUCAGUAGCGGCGAGUGAAGCGGCAAGAGCUCAGAUUUGAAAUCGUGCUUUGCGGCACGAGUUGUAGAUUGCAGGUUGGAGUCUGUGUGGAAGGCGGUGUCCAAGUCCCUUGGAACAGGGCGCCCAGGAGGGUGAGAGCCCCGUGGGAUGCCGGCGGAAGCAGUGAGGCCCUUCUGACGAGUCGAGUUGUUUGGGAAUGCAGCUCCAAGCGGGUGGUAAAUUCCAUCUAAGGCUAAAUACUGGCGAGAGACCGAUAGCGAACAAGUACUGUGAAGGAAAGAAGAAAAGCACUUUGAAAAGAGAGUGAAACAGCACGUGAAAUUGUUGAAAGGGAAGGGUAUUGCGCCCGACAUGGGGAUUGCGCACCGCUGCCUCUCGUGGGCGGCGCUCUGGGCUUUCCCUGGGCCAGCAUCGGUUCUUGCUGCAGGAGAAGGGGUUCUGGAACGUGGCUCUUCGGAGUGUUAUAGCCAGGGCCAGAUGCUGCGUGCGGGGACCGAGGACUGCGGCCGUGUAGGUCACGGAUGCUGGCAGAACGGCGCAACACCGC
rnacentral:rRNA from 1 species